rnacentral:rRNA from 1 species
UGGGGAAUUUUGGACAAUGGGGGAAACCCUGAUCCAGCCAUCCCGCGUGUGCGAUGAAGGCCUUCUGGUUGUAAAGCACUUUUGGCAGGAAAGAAACGUCAUGGGUUAAUACCCCGUGAAACUGACGGUACCUGCAGAAUAAGCACCGGCUAACUACGUGCCAGCAGCCGCGGUAAUACGUAGGGUGCAAGCGUUAAUCGGAAUUACUGGGCGUAAAGCGUGCGCAGGCGGUUCGGAAAGAAAGAUGUGAAAUCCCAGAGCUCAACUUUGGAACUGCAUUUUUAACUACCGGGCUAGAGUGUGUCAGAGGGAGGUGGAAUUCCGCGUGUAGCAGUGAAAUGCGUAGAUAUGCGGAGGAACACCGAUGGCGAAGGCAGCCUCCUGGGAUAACACUGACGCUCAUGCACGAAAGCGUGGGGAGCAAACAGG